GGGCCUAUAGCUCAGUGGUAGAGCGCAGGCUUAGCAUGCAUGAGGUCCUGGGUUGGAUUCCCAGUACCUCCA
rnacentral:tRNA from 1 species